rnacentral:rRNA from 1 species
CAGCAGUAGGGAAUCUUCCGCAAUGGGCGAAAGCCUGACGGAGCAACGCCGCGUGAGUGAGGACGGCCUUCGGGUUGUAAAACUCUGUUCUUGAGGAAGAAUUCCUUCCAGGCGAACAGCCUGGAAGGUUGACGGUACUCAAGGAGAAAGCCCCGGCUAACUACGUGCCAGCAGCCGCGGUAAUACGUAGGGGGCGAGCGUUAUCCGGAAUUAUUGGGCGUAAAGCGCGCGCAGGCGGCUGAUUAAGUCAGGUGUGAAAGGCUGCGGCUCAACCGCAGAGCGGCACCUGAAACUGGUCAGCUUGAGUGCAGGAGAGGGGAGCGGAAUUCCCGGUGUAGCGGUGGAAUGCGUAGAGAUCGGGAGGAACACCAGUGGCGAAGGCGGCUCUCUGGCCUGUAACUGACGCUGAGGCGCGAAAGCGUGGGGAGCAAACAGGAUUAGAUACCCUG